AACUUCCAAUUGAAUUUAACAGCACUAUGAGGGUAAAGGUGACUCUGAUGAGGGUUCAUUCAUUCAUCCCUUCUGUGGACCCGGUGUUGUCGCGCACGCUCCCAACAGUUGUACGUGCGCGGCCACGCAGACACGCGUGAUGCCUGAUGGCAGGAGCGGCAAGGAUGAGCCAGCUGAGCGGAUGACAACACAACACAAUAGAGCCCACUGCUGGGGAAGUAUUUUCAGGACAAAUGGAGGAGCCACGUAUUAAUGGAGGAGAGGUGCGUGUACGAAUCCAUGAUGUCCAUCCCUGUACUUGACAUCAAUUUAUCCCGGGAUUGUAUAUUCGGGGACCAUGUCCAACUGCAACUUCUGUGUUUUUAGGGCUAAAGUCUUAGACCGAAGAACCAUCUUAUCUGUGAUGGGUAGGUAAAAACUGAGAGGCCAGGAGUUGGCCACGCUGGUUUCAAAAAGAGAUAUUAAUUCAUUGCUCUUCAGAGUAUUCUCCCCAAUGCCUCAUUUUGCCAUAUAAAAAUGCCUUUAAAUAUUCGAGCCAAGCCAUCACAGAACAAGCUGUCUCCGGCCUUAAAGGGUACCGGGCACACAGAUGGCAAUGCAUCUCAUUCACGCUUUUCAAAGUCCACAAAACAGGGGAAAGGUAAACAAACCAAGGCCGUCUCUACACCAGGAUGCCGCUCGGGACUAGAACCUGGCUCAGUGUCGGGGGGACUAUCAGAAAAACACGUGGGUCAAGGAUCUGUGUCAAGUACCGGUCCAAAGAAGCCAGUAGUAAAAAAUAAAGGCCACACUCCUGAUUCAGUACCCGUACCAGCAGGUAAACCUUUGUCGAUGGAAAACAUUCAGUCUUUGAGCGCUGCUUAUGGCACUUCAAGCAACAUGUACCCCUGUGAGCAGGAAACUUUGGAGACAGUUGGCAGUUACCCUGUAGGCACCAUGACAGUGGGUUCGAGCACCAGCCACCCCCCUUACAGUGGCCGAACAACCGUUAUGGGCAGUACCCCAAACAUCAACUCCACUGAACUGAAUCACUACGGAAACCAAACCUUUAUCCCCGCGGGGACGUGUAGUCUCCAGCGGCAUCUUUCUGGGACACAUCCACCGACAAAGGAUCUAGUCGGUCAGUUUGAUCUCCACGUUCAGCUAAAGGAGCUCCAGUGGGAAAAUGACAACCUGAGAAGAGAACUGGAUGGAGAGAAGGAUGGAAGGAUAAGUCACAGUAUUAACGUCAACUUGUGUAGUCCAGAUGUCAAGAGAGACAAAGGCGUUAGACGGGAACAGGCACCAAGGACUCCUGCCCUGAAGGACUGCUAUCGGGCGGAUCAGGAUGCUAUUCAGUUUCCAUUGACAGUCCAAGAGCUCCAGGAAAAGCUGAGGGCCCACAGGGAGAUGAACAGCUGCCUGCAGUCACAGCAUCAGCAAGGAACCUUUACCUCCUGCCGUGAACGCCACCUGGACCAGGACCACAGAGGGGGACUAAGCCCUGGCCACGCUCCCAAACAAACCCCGAGCAUUCUCCACAGUCCCGGACUAAAGAACAGCCCGAGAGCCAGCCCAUCUAACACGUACAGUCCAAGGCAGCAAGAAGCUGACAUCAUCGUUCACAGCCCGGCCAACACCCUGAAGCCCGGGACGAGGCACAGCCCAAAUCAAAUGGCGGCACCCAGCCCUGCUUUGGUACCACGUUGCAACCCGUGCCAAGUACCGGGAUGUGACGGCUUCUCUUCACCUCCACGGGAUCCAUCACAAGAGAAUUUUCUGUACCUGCAGUCAGAGCACGAGCGUCAGGCUCAUGAGCUUUUCCUACUGAAGAAAACCAUGGAAGAAAUGGAGAUGAGAAUUGAUUCUCAGAAACAGACGCUUGGUGCCCGAGAUGAGAGCAUCCAGAGGCUCCUGGAGAUGCUUCAGGGUCAAGGCCAAGUUCAGGGACAGCGGAGCCGGGGGCAAAGAACAAGCAUUUUAGAUAUGGCGGCCAUGGAGGCUGAAGCCCAGUUGGGAAACAUGCACGUGAGAGAGAUAGAGCAGCAGAAGCAGGAGCUGAACAAGAAGGAGUCCGAGAUGCAAGCCCUGCAGACCAAACUGGAAACGGUCACCAAUCAGAACUCGGACUGCAAGCAACACAUUGAGGUGCUAAAGGAGUCGCUCAGCGCUAAGGAGCAACGUGCCAAUACACUGCAGACUGAGGUCGAUGCCCUGCGAGUGCGAUUAGAGGAAAAAGAGCAGUUCCUGUCCAAGAAGAACAAGCAGCUUCAGGACCUGACUGAUGAAAAAAGCACCCUAACCGGAGAAAUCAGAGACAUGAAGGACAUGUUGGAUGUCAAGGAGAGGAAGGUCAAUGUCCUUCAGAAGAAGAUUGAGAACCUGUUGGAACAGUUAAAGGACAAGGACAAACAGCUGACUGGGUUGAGGGAUCGUGUCCAAGGCCUUCAAACCGACUCCAGCAACACCGACACUGCACUUGCCACCCUGGAGGAGGCCCUGUCUGAGAAGGAGCGAGUGAUUGAGAGCCUUCGAGAACAGAAAGAACGGGUGGACAGAGUUCAGCUGGAGGAGCUGGAGCGGAUGAGGAAGGAGAAUCAGGAAUUAAAGGACAAGCUCUCGGCCAUUCAACCACAGAAACUGUCCCCCGGCCAGCCUGCUACCCCGAGCCUGAACCAAAACCCAAGACCCGAUGGAGAGGUUCCAGCCAAAGUAGAUGUACUACCAGUCAUGAGUGUCAGCUCCAUGGCCCAAAACACGGAGGGCACAUUGCGAAAGAGUCCAGACAUCACAGAUCGACUGAGGCUUCUGGAACAGGAAGUGGCUCGCUACAGGGAGGAAUCUGGGAAGUCGCAAGCAGAGGUGGAAAGGCUGACGGGGGCGCUGAGAGACGUUGAGGUGGACAGGUCGUGUAAAGAGAAGAGAAUUAACGACCUUGAGAGGCACAUCAAGGCCCCUCAUAUCCAAAAGCAAACGGUGCUCGGCGAAGUAAGGAAAGAUGCCCAGACAGAUGGACAUCCGCACUCGUUAUCGCAGCUAGAGGAGCUGAUGGGCGCCCUGGAGAAGACACGACUAGAGCUGGACAGCUACAAGUUGCGUUUGUGCUCCACUCAGCAAACCCUGCAUGAACGAGACGGACAUCUCAACAACCUGAGACAGGAAAGACGCAAACAGCUGGAGGAGAUUCUGGACAUGAAGCAGCAGGCUUUGCUGGCAGCCAUCAGUGAGAAGGAUGCCAACAUCGCCCUCCUGGAGUUGUCUUCCUCCAAGCGAAGAAAAGCUCAAGAAGAAGCGAUGGCUCUAAAACGGGAGAAAGACCGUCUCAUGCACCAGCUCAAACAGCAGACGCAAAGCAAAAUGAAAAUGAUGACCGAUAAUUAUGAGGAAGAUCGCAUCCACCAGCAACAUCAUCCUCAACAUCUGCUGUCGUUGCCUUCCACAAAUGUUCAUCAUCGAAGCCUGCCAAGAGGGCCCCCCCAUGCCAACCACCACAGACCCCCUAUGGACCAGGAUGAUGAAGAAGGGAUCUGGGCAUGAUUUGACAAUCACUGUGGGAGUCUCGUGUACAAAAUACGGUCCUGCCGGAGCGUCUGCUGCGUGUGAACGGUCUCGCUCUCGAUGUCUCUUCAGUUUUACUCCCACUCUCUCCCCGCCGCACCCCCCGAGGCUGCAAAGGUAUGCCGUCUACAUCAGUGCUUCUCAACUGGUUUGACUCCCACCGCCCAUCAUCACCGCUCAAUGCCGCGUAUCAAGAGGUCCAAGAGCUUCAACGGGCACACAUUCGGACCACCGUACGCCAUUGACUGCCAGACGUACACCCACUUCGGGACCCUUCUGAUAAGCUCUGAAUGUUGUCUUCGUCUUUGCGGACUAAUGCAUCACACUAAUGUGACUUUGUGUCAGUCGUCAGCGUUUGGCUUCGUUUCAUGUGGUCCACUGCCUUCAUGGUUCACGUUGUUUGGGUGAAACUAUGGACGGGAUCCAUUUCUCAUUUUUUGGAGAUCUGGACAACGGAUCCACCCGCUUUUGACUACUAAGUAGCCAAACCAGAGCCAGCGUAAUCAUCCGUCAACUUCUGGACCACUUGUUUAUUUCAGCAGUAAAUGCGUUUAUAUGUGGAGCUAAAUAUUGGACUUUGUAAAUACCACAGCAUGGACCUCGCUCCCUCAUGUCCACCAAGACCUUCUCAAUGUACUGUGCCAAAAGAGACAUCCUGUUUGCCGUUUAUCUUGUUUGCUCAACCUGCUGUGCACUUGUUUAAAGGGGACCUAUUAUGUUUUUUUCCACGUUUCUGACCCAUAAAUGUAGAUAAAAUACUGUAGUCAGGUGUUAAACCAUGCCAAAGUUUCAGAUAAUGAGGUUUGUGCAUUUGGAAGUGAGUCCUGAAAGAAGUUUGGCAUGGCUCAAAACGCCCUGUUUCAGAAGGCGGGGUAAACAUGCCUCUUUGUGAUGUCACAGAUGUCAGAUGUUUGUGAUGCCCUUAUAUGGGUGUGGCUGUAAAUCCCAAGCCCUGCUUCUGCCUGCUACUCUGUUUACAAAACAAGCUCAGGCAGAAGUUACUGUAUUUGGUUUAUUUCCAGCAAGAAAAAAAUAUUUCCACCCCGGGUCUGUUUUUGUGAACAUGAACGUGAAAUAUCCGCCAAACUGUUGCUGGAGCCAUAAGCAGCGUGCUCUCGCUAGGAAAGGUGCAUUAAUUUUGAACACGCUUUGUGUCCACGCGGUGCCCUAAUGUCUGGCGCACCAACGGCACCGCUGACAAAGUGUGUCCGACAAUCAGUGCUCUUCCUCAGGUAGGCAAGGUCACCGUUACCACACAGGGGUCUCCAGCCAGUGGCUCCUAAACACUUUUCAAUUAGUUCUCCAAAGACUUUGGGGUUCAUUUGUAGUUAGGAAGCACUUUGGGCGUGUGUCCAAUAACAGCGUAGUGGGCGUGCCCGGAGGCGGGUCGUGGGUGGAAUAAAUUAAAACAGACUGUUUUGGCAGGUAGCCCAAAGGAAGCCCAAGGAAAUACAGCUGGAAUAUGUGCAUAUUCUGGAAGAUCUAGAAAGUUGUGAGGGUUAUUGUGUGUACCUGCUCUAUAGGAGUCCACAACUCAAUACAAAGGGUCAAAAAAUGAGAAUAAUAGGUCCCCUUUACUGUUUUUUUGUUUAAUUUUUUUGUAAUACUAGUUUUACAUCCAGUGCCAAUCAUUGUUUUGAAAAGUUUAUUCUGUAAAUCCGAGUGCUUAACAACUAUUUAUUUACUUUAUAAAGAAGCAACUUGCAAGGUGAAGCCUCAAAUACAUAAUUCACAAUUAUGGACACUUGGACUUGAGGCUUAGUACUUUGGUACCUGAGUAUCGAAUAUACUCGCGAAACUGUAAAAUCUUGGUACAUUACUGCCAGAAAACAUCUGAUACCCUUUACAAAUGGACAUAAAAUGCUAAUUGCUAAUUUGUUAGUUGUUUUUUUUUUGUUUGUUUCAUUUGCUCCCACCCGUAUCUCUGGGGGGGGGAUUCAUCCUUGACUUCCACAGUUCCAGUGUUUUGCAGUGGUCAGCGUGUUUUCUGUUAUUUUAAUAAACCAUUUUUCGCAAGAA